GGUUGAUUAUUCAACAGAUCAGGGACCGUACAUCAGGCAAUUCACCGUCUUACCAAAAGAUAGAUGAAAGUAAAUUUCGGCAUGGAAUCGAACAUACCUUAUUGUGCAUAAAAGAAAACACCAAUCAUGAUAAUGCUGAGAUUGCAACACAACUGGUGGAGAUGAAACGUGCAAUGCUAAAACUAAAAUGGGAAGACUUGUUUGUUCACGCACAAGUACUGGCAAAUGUUGGACGUAUAAAUAAUGCUGUUGAUGUGUUGCAAGAACUGCUUACAACUUUUGAUCGUAACAGAAUUGAUAGCAACGAUAUGGAAAAAUUAUUAUUCUUAUGUACAGACAAGAGAGGAUUGUGAGUAAAAGAAGUUUCU